GGGAAGAUGGCCGAGCGGUUAAGGCGCCACGUUAAGGUCCCUUAAAGAGUCUUUAAUCAACAUCUGUUUAGUUUAACCUUCAGAUUCCGUGGUUCGAAAGAGCGUGGGUUCGAUUCCCACUCUUCUCA